UAACUCGCCCGCUGCCCCGGCGGCCUGCCGGCCGGCGGCUCCCACACGCCAGCGCCGCCCCGCCCUCCCCAAAGCCGCCAGGCGCGCUCGCUCACCGUCCGGUGGUGCUGCUGCUGCCGGUGGCGGCUGACGCCCAGCCCGGGGAAGCAGCCGGCAGUCAGCGCUCCGCAGCCGCCCGCGCCCCCGCCGCCGCCCCGGGAGGAAAGGAGCAGCAGGAGCGAUCUACCUGCGGCGGCCGCCAUCUCUCAACUGGAAACGGCGCCGACCCAGGCAGCGCCGCGGACGGCCGGGGCGGAGCUAAGACCCGUCACUCACUGGCGCCGGACCAACUGCCGCCCUUGACUGAGUUGAUGAGGCGGGGCUUCCUGCAAAGCCCAAUCGACAGGCGGGAGAACCACACUUGAGGCUGUCUGUCACUUCCAGAGUUACCUAUUGUGGGACAUAGUCAAUUACGGGCGAAUUCUAGGGAACCGGUAAUUGGCACCCGAGCCCCUCAGAAUAGCAGCAACCGAGACGGCGUAUUCGAUUUCGGCUAAUCUUCAUCGAGGAUAGAGCUAUGAUACGGAGAAAACCUUAUCCACAGCUGCAAAGGACGUAUCUCAUAUCAACUGGUUGGCCAGGCCCCAUAAGGAGAAAGUGUGGAUAGCUCAACAGAAAGUCAUCCUCAAAACCUGAAAAAAAAAUUGUAUAUGAAGGGAAAGCCCUCUCUAGGCAUUUACUAUCUGUUCCCUGAACCUGCCCUGACCUUCAAACCUCCAACUCUUUGCUCCUGCGGUACCUAGAAGCCACCUGUUCUACUCUUUUGAAGACCAGCUCGGCCUCCUCUGAAAGUAAAG